AGCUUGCUCCCUUCGUAUCAGAAGUCGCUAAGUCGGAACUCAGAACUCAGAAGAGAUUUCCUUAUUCCUCCUUUCUCGAAGCCAAGUUAGGGUUUUGUUCAAGCUCGCGUUUUUCAGGUCUCUUGAACAUUUAGCUAUGGCAACCGAAACAAAGGUAGCAACGGAAGAUGCCAAAGUUGAUCUUUUUGAAGAUGAUGAUGAAUUUGAAGAAUUUGAAAUUGGUGAAGAGUGGGAUGACAAGGAGGAAGGAAAAGAAACACAACAGUGGGAAGAUGACUGGGAUGAUGAUGAUGUCAGUGAUGACUUCUCUCUUCAGCUGAAAAGAGAACUGGAGAGCAACAGUGAGAAGCAACAGUGAAGUCCAGGAUCCCCCAUCCUUCCCAUUAUCAUUUGACCAUCUCAUAUAGACAAAUAGCAGCUUAUACUGUUUGUCUGUAAAAUGACCGAAAAAAGGUAGUUUCUGAGGCUUAAGGAAGUUUUAAGGUGUUUCAUUGUGUGGAAGUCCAUUCAAAUAGAGUAUUCUGCAACCUUAGAUGCUCUUGUUUCUGUUCAAGACUUGAACAUCUGUUAUGACUUAUGAAGUAGAUAAAACAUCAACUAUCUUCCAUUAAUCUCUUCAGAUUCA